rnacentral:rRNA from 1 species
GCUUACACAUGCAAGUCGAGCGGUAACAGUCCUUCGGGAGCUGACGAGCGGCGGACGGGUGAGUAAUGCAUAGGAAUCUGCCUGUUAGAGGGGGAUAGCCCGGGGAAACUCGGAUUAAUACCGCAUACGCCCUACGGGGGAAAGCAGGGGAUCUUCGGACCUUGCGCUAACAGAUGAGCCUAUGUCGGAUUAGCUAGUUGGUAGGGUAAGAGCCUACCAAGGCGACGAUCCGUAACUGGUCUGAGAGGAUGAUCAGUCACACUGGAACUGAGACACGGUCCAGACUCCUACGGGAGGCAGCAGUGGGGAAUAUUGGACAAUGGGGGAAACCCUGAUCCAGCCAUGCCGCGUGUGUGAAGAAGGCCUUCGGGUUGUAAAGCACUUUCAGUGGGGAGGAAAGGGCAGUUGCUAAUAUCAGCUGCAGUUGACGUUACCCACAGAAGAAGCACCGGCAAACUCCGUGCCAGCAGCCGCGGUAAUACGGAGGGUGCGAGCGUUAAUCGGAAUUACUGGGCGUAAAGCGCGCGUAGGCGGUUGCUUAAGCUAGAUGUGAAAUCCCCGGGCUUAACCUGGGAACUGCAUUUAGAACUGGGCGACUAGAGUUUUGGAGAGGAGGGUAGAAUUCCAGGUGUAGCGGUGAAAUGCGUAGAGAUCUGGAGGAAUACCAGUGGCGAAGGCGGCCCUCUGGCCAAAAACUGACGCUGAGUGCGAAAGCGUGGGGAGCAAACAGGAUUAGAUACCCUGGUAGUCCACGCCGUAACGA